CAGAAUCUCCCCGAUUUUUCCGCUCGCGGCGACGGCGCGACGGCGCGGCUCACCAGUCCCCAUGGCGGCGCGGCGGCUCCGUUCGCCGGAGGAGCGUGCAGCGUGCUAGCGCCGCGUGCUGCUUCGUCGAACGGCGCCGACCACGUUGCGGUCGCAUGGGCUUUUCUUGUGCGGAGCAGAGGGGACAAGGCGAUGGUGGCGCGCCGGACUUGAGGAAGGUGGCGGCGGCGUGAAUGGCAACAGCGGCCGUUCGCGCCGUCGCCCGUAAGGAUGGCACCGGUCAUUUCCAACAUCACCUGCAAGCUUUCUCCGAUGAGAUGACGGAGGUACGGCGACGGCGCCCUCGCACAGCGAGCUGUGUGGAACCCCGAACGGGAGCCGUCGACGCGGCCACAUCAGGCGAGGAUUCGACAUGCAGUUUGCUGGAGUUGAUCCUGCGAUCUCGCGGUUUCCGCACUAGACUGUUAGCCUCGCCGCAACAUUUGGAAGAAGGCAAUCUGGAUCCAAAUGAAUCACAUAUUUGCAAGAGAAGGGAAGAUGAAAACUAAUUCCAAUGUCCGACGAGAUGAAUCCGCGUGGUAUGUGACACUAGAGGAUGUCCAAGUGAACAGGGUUCCAACAAUGACGAGAGCAAGGGGACCUUUCGGUGAUCAUCCUAACGGUGUGGUAAAUCGAGAAACAGAGCAAUGCGGCUAUCUUCGAUAAAGUGAGUUGAGCAUUGUCAGCAUGCUUGACACGAUCAAGGCCGAGGCCAGAUUGGGGUGGGGGGCCUCGAAGAGGUACUGUCUGCGGUGCCUACUUUGGGUUUGUGGCCUCUCGUACAUACAACUAUUUCUUCUAGAGACGCAGGGCUUUUGCGCUUUCUCAAAGAAAGAAAAGACAAUCACCGAGGCAUGUAUGAAAUGAAAUUAUGUAAGGAAGAAAUUCCUGUUAACUGUUGGUAUUGUAUAAGUUGGUCUCUUCCAGUGAACGGUACCUAUUGCCUAUAUAUGUUGCA